rnacentral:piRNA from 1 species
AGCCCAUGACUUCUUGCUCAAGGUUGC